CUCGGACUAUUGUAAUCCGAGGACAUAAGCACCCAAUUAAAAUGCGCUGGUGAGACAGUACUUGAAAGGAACUACUUCAGGUGAAUGUACCCGACGUAAAAAUGCUGCCAAAUCAGAUGAACCAGUUCUUAAAUUGGAGGUUAAAGCACAAGAGUUCACUGUCUGGGUUGAAGAAACAAACUACUUAUUAUCGAGCAGAAAUACCGUCUGUACAUGCGCACAUUUUCGUAUUACCCACGCUACAUAUUGAUUGUUUAUUACCACUGUUGAAAAUAU